UGCCUAAACCCAGCAGAAAUGCGGGGCAUGGCACAGAAACCAAGUGCAUACUGAACCCAUCGUUCAGGCUCCAUGCACUUGGUCAUACCCCGAAAGGGGUAUGGACGGCUUCGGCUGUC
rnacentral:sRNA from 12 species